CCCUUAGAUGUUCUGGGCUGCACGCGUGCUACACUGAUAUUGCCAAUAUGUCAUUCUUAUCCGAAAUGGAUUGGGUAAUCAAGUAAUGAAAUUUCAUGCUUGGAAUCGGUAAUUGCAAUUUUAUCGUGAACGAGGAAUUCCUAGUAAGCACUAGUCAUCAGCUAAUGUUGAUUAUGUCCCUGCCCUUUGUACACACCGCCCGUCGCUACCACUGAUUGGGUGUUCAAGUGAGAUGCUUAGACCCUUGUUGCAUGGUUCAUUAUUGUGCUCCGAAAGGAAAAAGUUUCAAGCUUGAGUGUCUAGAGGAAGUAAAAGUCGUAACA
rnacentral:rRNA from 1 species